rnacentral:rRNA from 1 species
UGGGGAAUUUUGGACAAUGGGCGAAAGCCUGAUCCAGCAAUGCCGCGUGUGUGAAGAAGGCCUUCGGGUUGUAAAGCACUUUUGUCCGGAAAGAAAUCCUUGGCUCUAAUACAGUCGGGGGAUGACGGUACCGGAAGAAUAAGCACCGGCUAACUACGUGCCAGCAGCCGCGGUAAUACGUAGGGUGCAAGCGUUAAUCGGAAUUACUGGGCGUAAAGCGUGCGCAGGCGGUUUGCUAAGACCGAUGUGAAAUCCCCGGGCUCAACCUGGGAACUGCAUGGUGACUGGCAGGCUAGAGUAUGGCAGAGGGGGGUAGAAUUCCACGUGUAGCAGUGAAAUGCGUAGAGAUGUGGAGGAAUACCGAUGGCGAAGGCAGCCCCCUGGGCCAAUACUGACGCUCAUGCACGAAAGCGUGGGGAGCAAACAGGAUUAGAUACCCUGGUAGUCCACGCCCUAAACGAUGUCAACUAGUUGUUGGGGAUUCAUUUCCUUAGUAACGUAGCUAACGCGUGAAGUUGACCGCCUGGGGAGUACGGUCGCAAGAUUAAAACUUAAAGGAAUUG